rnacentral:rRNA from 1 species
AGUGAACGCUGGCGGUAGGCCUAACACAUGCAAGUCGAACGGCAGCACAGUAAGAGCUUGCUCUUACGGGUGGCGAGUGGCGGACGGGUGAGGAAUACAUCGGAAUCUACUUUUUCGUGGGGAAUAACGUAGGGAAACUUACGCUAAUACCGCAUACGACCUACGGGUGAAAGCAGGGGAUCUUCGGACCUUGCGCGAUUGAAUGAGCCGAUGUCGGAUUAGCUAGUUGGCGGGGUAAAGGCCCACCAAGGCGACGAUCCGUAGCUGGUCUGAGAGGAUGAUCAGCCACACUGGAACUGAGACACGGUCCAGACUCCUACGGGAGGCAGCAGUGGGGAAUAUUGGACAAUGGGCGCAAGCCUGAUCCAGCCAUACCGCGUGGGUGAAGAGGGCCUUCGGGUUGUAAAGCCCUUUUGUUGGGAAAGAAAAGCAGCAGGUUAAUACCCCGCUGUUCUGACGGUACCCAAAGAAUAAGCACCGGCUAACUUCGUG